CCCAGUUCUGAGUAGCAUAAACCUUGGGUCAAGUCCUUCAUUCCCAGUUCGGAGUAGCUGCUGGUGCUGCUGCGGGUGCUGGAGCGCUGCCCUGUUCCCAGCCAGUAGGUGCAGGUGCAGGAACUGCAUCCCAUCCAUCGGCUGCAGGAGCUGAAAUUGGAAAAUGUAAUUUGAGUACAUAUGUAACAUUUCAGGCUUCAAGCAAUAGUCAAACUGAUAGGUAGAGACAGGAAAAGUACAGGAUAGCAACUGCAUCUGGUAAAAGGGUAGGAUAAAAAUGGGGUAUCAAUUAAAUGUGAACAAAC
rnacentral:lncRNA from 1 species